rnacentral:SRP_RNA from 1 species
GCUGGGUGCAGUGGAGUGUGCCUGUAGUCCCAGCUACUCAGGAGGCUGAGGUGGGAGGAUCGCUUGAGCCCAGGAGUUCUGGGCUGUAAUGUGCUAUGCUGAUUGGGUGUCCACACUAAGUUCGGCAUCAGUAUGGUGACCUCCUGGGAGUGGGGGACCACCAGAUUGCCUAAGGAGGGGUGAACCAUCCCAGGUUGGAAUGGAGCAGAUCAAAACUCCUGUGCUGAUCAGUACUGGGAUCACGCCUGUGAAUGGCCGCUACACUCCAGCCUGGGCAACAUAGCGAGACUCUGUCUCU